rnacentral:rRNA from 1 species
UUAGAGCAGAGUUUGAUCAUGGCUCAGAUUGAACGCUGGCGGUAUGCUUAACACAUGCAAGUCGAACGGUAACAGGCCUUCGGGCGCCGACGAGUGGCGGACGGGUGAGUAAUGCGUAGGAAUCUGCCUAGUAGUGGGGGACAACUUGGGGAAACUCAAGCUAAUACCGCAUACGCCCUACGGGGGAAAGCGGGGGAUCUUCGGACCUCGCGCUAUUAGAUGAGCCUGCGUGAGAUUAGCUUGUUGGUGAGGUAAAGGCUCACCAAGGCUAUGAUCUCUAGCUGGUCUGAGAGGACGAUCAGCCACACUGGGACUGAGACACGGCCCAGACUCCUAUGGGAGGCAGCAGUGGGGAAUAUUGGACAAUGGGCGCAAGCCUGAUCCAGCAAUACCGCGUGUGUGAAGAAGGCCUUAGGGUUGUAAAGCACUUUCAGCAGUGAGGAAAAACUUAAGAUUAAUAACCUUAGGUCUUGACAUUAACUGCAGAAGAAGCACCGGCUAACUCCGUGCCAGCAGCCGCGGUAAUACGGGGGGUGCAAGCGUUAAUCGGAUUUACUGGGCGUACAGCGCGCGUAGGUGGUUUAGCAAGUUGGAUGUGAAAGCCCCGGGCUCAACCUGGGAAUUGCAUCCAAAACUGACAAUCUAGAGUUUUGUAGAGGGUGGUAGAAUUUCAGGUGUAGCGGUGAAAUGCGUAGAGAUCUGAAGGAAUACCAGUGGCGAAGGCGGCCACCUGGACAAUAACUGACGCUCAUGUACGAAAGCGUGGGGAGCAAACGGGAUUAGAUACCCCGGUAGUCCACGCCGUAAACGAUGUCAACUAGCCGACUGAAUCCUUGAGAUUUGGGUGGCGCAGCUAACGCAUUAAGUUGACCGCCUGGGGAGUACGGCCGCAAGGUUAAAACUCAAAUGAAUUGACGGGGGCCCGCACAAGCGGUGGAGCAUGUGGUUUAAUUCGAUGCAACGCGAAGAACCUUACCUACUCUUGACAUCCACAGAACUUGGCAGAGAUAGUAGAGUGCCUUCGGGAAUUCUGUGACAGGUGCUGCAUGGCUGUCGUCAGCUCGUGUCGUGGGAUGUUGGGUUAAGUCCCGUAACGAGCGCAACCCUUAUCCUUAGUUGCCAGCACGUGAUGGUGGGAACUCUAGGGAGACUGCCGGUGAUAAACCGGAGGAAGGUGGGGACGACGUCAAGUCAUCAUGGCCCUUAUGGGUAGGGCUACACACGUGCUACAAUGGUCGGUACAGAGGGCCGCGAACUUGUGAGAGUAAGCAAAUCCCAGAAAGCCGAUCUUAGUCCGGAUUGGAGUCUGCAACUCGACUCCAUGAAGUCGGAAUCGCUAGUAAUCGCGGAUCAGAAUGCCGCGGUGAAUACGUUCCCGGGCCUUGUACACACCGCCCGUCACACCAUGGGAGUGGGUUGCAAAAGAAGUGGGUAGACUAACCUUCGGGAGGUCGCUCACCACUUUGUGGU